UGACCUCGGAUCAGGUAGGAUUACCCGCUGAACUUAAGCAUAUCAAUAAGCGGAGGAAAAGAAACCAACAGGGAUUGCCCCAGUAACGGCGAGUGAAGCGGCAACAGCUCAAAUUUGAAAUCUGGCCCUCGGGUCCGAGUUGUAAUUUGGAGAGGAUGCUUUUGGCGCGGCGCCGUCCGAGUUCCUUGGAACAGGACGCCAUAGAGGGUGAGAGCCCCGUACGGGCGGCCGCCUAGCCUUUGUAAAGCUCCUUCGACGAGUCGAGUAGUUUGGGAAUGCUGCUCAAAAUGGGAGGUAAAUUUCUUCUAAAGCUAAAUACCGGCCAGAGACCGAUAGCGCACAAGUAGAGUGAUCGAAAGAUGAAAAGCACUUUGAAAAGAGGGUUAAAAAGUACGUGAAAUUGUUGAAAGGGAAGCGCCUGUGACCAGACUUGCGGCCCGUGGAUCAUCCGGUGUUCUUCACCGGUGCACUCCGCGGGCUGCAGGCCAGCAUCGGUUUUCCUAGGGGGAUAAAGGUCGCGGGAACGUAGCUCCCUCGGGAGUGU
rnacentral:rRNA from 4 species